GCUUGGUUUCAGAUCGCCCCCUCGGAUAUUUGGGUGAAAUUGCUCCUAGAACUGGAAGCGUGGACUUGUUAGUUCACCCUAUUCCGCAGAAACCUUCUUGUGCGCUAGUGGACAGAUCAUUUGGCGCUCCUAGACACAGAGUGCUAGAUAGCCUUCAACGUGCUCUAAAUCAGGCUGAGAAUGAUUUCCUGUACAUGGUUGAGCAAGAAAUGGAGGACCGCCCUGAUAUUGUAUCAAUUGGAUCUUGUGUUUUGGUUGUGCUUCUACAUGGUAAGGACUUGUACACACUCAAUUUAGGUGAUAGUCGAGCCGUAUUGGCAACAUAUGGUGCUGGCAUGAAUGGGAACAAGGUCCUGCAAGCUAUACAGCUUACUGAUAGUCAUACGGUUGACAAUGAAAUUGAAAAAUCUCAACUUCUAAAUAAUCAUCCCGAUGACCCCGNNNNNNNNNNNNNNNNNNNNNNNNNNNNNNNNNNNNNNNNNNNNNNNNNNNNNNNNNNNNNNNNNNNNNNNNNNNNNNNNNNNNNNNNNNNNNNNNNNNNUUUUUAUUGCUUCAGUUGUUACUCAUGUGAUAUCAUCAUGAUGGGAAUUUCAUGCCAUUUGUUGUGAUGCUUCUGUUGACCUUUUGAUAAUUAUAUGAUUAUUUCAUGGCUCACAAAUUUUCUGGUAUCCUUGUAUUUUAUAUGUUAGUAUUAGCAUGAAAAACUAAAUUCACUCAUUAUUCUUGUCAAGACUGAUAAAAGAGUGCAUAAAUCAGUCAUUAGGAAUGGAAUUUUUUUCUUUCCUAAGACUUAUAACAGUGAGAGCAGGAAAAAAGAAUGUAACUUCGAAUGAAGGAUUAAGAAGAGAGCAAGUUAAAAAGAGACACCUAUGAAACUUAAUAUGUUGUUGAAGGAAUGACCUGAAUGAAGUAUAGAGGUUCUUAUAAACAAUCUAGCCAACUUAAGCAAGGCCAUAUUCAUGCUCACAACCAUAAAAAGUUGGAUGAAGUUUCCACAAUCCUAAAUUUUAGAGUUAGCCAGGAGGUUUUUGAAUGUUCAGACACAAUUUAAGAUUUUGCAUGUCGAAACCUACAUAAGUUUAACCUUAGUGUUCUCCAUUAUAAUUCCCAAGUUUCCCAUUGGUUAUUUCAUAACUAGGAAACAAGUCAAAAGCAUGAUAGAUUAACCUUACAGUAGGCCUACCUACCUGUACCAUAAUAACAGUUACAUCCUACUUGUAUCACUCCAAGUCUUAAGAACUUACUGAAAGUGGUAUCAUUCUUUCAGAGUUACAACCAAAACUCUUGAAUUUAUAUCAGAAAUAUCAUUCCCUCCAUAAACUUGUUUACCUCACUUAGAUAUAGGUAAUGGAUUCAACUCUAAAUAGCUGCUACAUAUGGUGCUUUGUUUGGAAUUUCAUACUUCAAAUAAUCUUAAUUAUUUUGUUGAUUAUUGGUGUUCCUCCAGUAGUUAAUUUUCUGAUUCCUGGCGUUCCCUUGAUUUUUAUGUCAAAUUAUUUCCACUAAUUGUAUUUGGUACAUUUAUGCAAUAGUGCAAGUAAUGGUUUCCAUCUUGCAAGGAAAUAACAGUAGCAUUUUUGUAUAGUUUCAGUUAUAGAUGAUGCGUAAUGAAACAAGUCUUGAUCCAGAUGGAGAAAUCAAAGUAAGUUUUGGCUAUCAAUGCAAUGAAAGGAAGGAAAUUUCUUGUGAUAUGUCUGAUGGAUUUGAAACACCAUCUGGAAUUAAACUCCGAAGAACCAAUAGUUCCUUCUCUUGCUUCUCUGGCGCUGCUUUAAGUGCCAAUGCUACGUUGGCCAACACAAAUAUCUGCAAUGGCUUAAUUGGCGCUGAAAUUCUCCCAACUUGGGACUCUCCCACUUCAUUUCGGAGGAUUCCCUCUUCUCCCUCAAUAUCAAAGUUGGAUUUAUUAUCUUAUUCUCUCCAAAGUAGUUUUUUGAACUUAAGUUGUAGUCCAUCUACUCCAAGUGAGACAGCUGAAUCUGAUUCUUUCUCACUGAAAUCCAUGAGUGCUCCUUCAAGAAGUGAAGGGUUUCUUAAUGCUAUGGAAGUCCAAGUGGCAGGUGGGGCUGCCGGUGAAGAUCGCAUCCAAGCUGUUUGUUCUGAAGAAAAUGGGUGGCUAUUUUGUGCAAUCUAUGAUGGUUUCAAUGGUAGAGAUGCAGCUGAUUUUCUGGCUGGAACAUUAUAUGAAACUAUCGGGGUCUACUUGAAUUCUUUAGAAUGGGAACUUGAAUCCAACAAAGCAUCUGAUUGCUUGGUUUCAGAUCGCCCCCUCGGAUAUUUGGGUGAAAUUGCUCCUAGAACUGGAAGCGUGGACUUGUUAGUUCACCCUAUUCCGCAGAAACCUUCUUGUGCGCUAGUGGACAGAUCAUUUGGCGCACCUAGACACAGAGUGCUAGAUAGCCUUCAACGUGCUCUAAAUCAGGCUGAGAAUGAUUUCCUGUACAUGGUUGAGCAAGAAAUGGAGGACCGCCCUGAUA
rnacentral:lncRNA from 1 species